rnacentral:rRNA from 1 species
UACAGAGGUCCCAAGCGUUGUUCGGAUUCACUGGGCGUAAAGGGUGCGUAGGUGGUGGGGUAAGUCUGAUGUGAAAUCUCCGAGCUCAACUCGGAAAUGGCAUUGGAUACUACUUUGCUAGAGGAUUGGAGGGGAGACUGGAAUUCUUGGUGUAGCAGUGAAAUGCGUAGAUAUCAAGAGGAACACCAGUGGCGAAAGCGAGUCUCUGGACAAUUCCUGACACUGAGGCACGAAAGCUAGGGGAGCAAACAGGAUUAGAUACCCCCGUAGUCC